rnacentral:misc_RNA from 1 species
AAAAAAAAACAGAGGCGCUUCACGUUUGCCUCGCUGCACUUCAUUCCAGUCUCCUCUUACUAGUCUUGUGCGCUUACCUUCUUUUUCUCGACUUAUCUCUCACUCUCUUUGCCUGUUUGUCCGUUCUCCUGCUACGCCGUGUGUUUUGACUUCGCUGAGUAUGCUGCAACAGGAGGCGUUUCGAAUACACAGGAAGUCUAGCGACGCCACGGCUAGCGUCGGCACGGGAUACCAGGACGAUGCCGUCGCCACCACCACCUUGCCGUGCACUUCGACUUCUCACUGUGUGCCACCAUCGGCUUUGCCAGCUCCUAAUGGAUGCUCUUCGACGGCGGCGGUGGGGGCCGGCGAAGUCGCGGCGGUUUCAUCAAUAUUACCACCACCAACAUCGUCUUCAGCUGACGGCGAGCAGAUGCUGAGUCUCCACACAGUAGUGCAGGAGACGCAUGCCGGGACGAAAUCACAGCAGCAGAUCUUGGCCGAGCGCGCGCGCGCCUCGUUUCGCCAUGACCGCCGCCUCCAACGAGGUCAGAGAGAUCCCAGACAGACCGACGCACUCUCAUCGUCAACGCCUCACUACCCUCAUCCUUUGAUGGGCUCUCCAGCGUGGGUAGCACUUCCAGAGUCGGUGGUGGCACACAGUGAGGAGACCGCCUCGCCUUCACUGCUGCUUGAUGGCGCCGAUGAGCGUAACUGCGUCUCUGCUCGCCCGACUGCGUGGAUGUGCAGCUGCUCCUCCGUCAUGAACUCCACUCCGCCUCAGCUGCUUCCGCCAUCCGCUGCAUCGACGACGAGCUCCGCAACACUUGGUGGCCGCGCGGGCGGGCUGGCGUAUCAGUCUCUCACCGCGGAGGAUGACGAGGGCGAUGUGGAGUACAAGUGGCGCCUCACCGGCAUCUCGCCGAGCCGCUUCCAGCACCUCGUGACGCAAAUGCAGUUUCGCGUCUCGGAGGGCCAUGGCCAGUGCCUCUACGAGCUCGGUGUCUCCGACGACGGCACCCCUCGCGGGCUGACCCGGCGGGACUUCAACGAGUCCGUGCAGACCAUUAAUCGUAUGGCAGCUCAGCUGCAACUAGAGGCGACGCUGCUGCAAUGCUGUGUCGUCAGAAAGACUGCCGCGACACCGGCCGGAGGCAGCGUUUCCUCCCCAUACGACAAGUUAAAGGUCAGUGCGGCAGAGCGCGCGGAGCGAGAUGGCGAACAACAUGAACCAUGUCACAGCAAGGAGAAUGAGGAGGAGCUGCUGUGUGGAGAGAUUAUGCUAUCGCGGCGUCAGGCAGGCAAUAGCGGCCACGAUUUGAGCGUCGCCUUCUGCGGCGCCGUCGGCUCCGGCAAGUCGACGCUGAUGGCGGUGCUCCUCACGUCUCGCCUCGACGACGGCUGCGGUGGAACGCGGCAGGCCCUGUUCAACCACAAGCACGAGCUCGACACAGGGCGGACAAGCUCGCUGGCGUCGCGGGUUUGGACGGUGACGCAGACACCGGCUGACACGUCAUCAGAGCUGAAGCGGCCCGUCAGUGCAGCGCAGCUGCCGUCGCCCAGGGAUUCGCCCGCUGCGGCCCUGCGCGGCUCCGCUCCCAGCUGGUCCUGCACCUCAUCUCCUGCGGCGCCGCUGCCACCAUCGACGCUGCCUUUCACGGGCGCCUCGCCUCGCUCCAUCACGCUUCUCGACGCUGGUGGCGACAUCACUAAGACGAUGCUGUUUUGCCUCAUGAGCCGCAAGCCGGAUUACGUGUGCGUGUGCGUAGCGGCCGACACUGCCGACGUCUCCGACGUCUCUCUCUACGCGGAGGUGUGCUGCGCCAUGAACACACCGUUUGUCGUGGUGGUCACCAAGAGCGACUUGGUGGAGGAAUUCGAGCUGGAUGGCCUCAUCAUGGAGCUCGCCAUUGCGCUGGAGGUGGUGGGGUGUGAGUCGGAGCAGGUGGACUCGACACUGAUGGCCGCGGCGUACUGCCGGGCGUGGCUACCACGCCACCGCGACGCCGCCGUGGAGGGGGGUGUGGGCACGACGACUCCCAUUUCCACCCCAAACACGACAGCGGUCCCGCCCCGUGCCGAGCGGCUGCGCGUGCCCGUAUUUUGUGUGUCGUCGGUGCAAGGGGGAGAAGGUCUGGAGUUGUUCCGCUAUUGCCUCUCCCACAUACAGAACCCUCCUCCCUCGCCUCUGCUGAGCCCGUCUUCGUGGGCCUCAAAGCCCCCCUUUGAAGUGCUCCUUGACUACGCCUUUGCCGUCGAUGGCGUGGGGCAUGUUGUGCACGGCCGCGUUGCACGCGGCCCAGUCGAGGUGGGGUGCAGCUGCUACAUCGGGCCUGGCAGCGACGGUCGCUUCUAUGCCGUGCUUGUGCGCGGCAUCCACGUUGACGGUGAGCACGUGAACGAGGCGCAGGUUGGCGACGAGGCCACGUUCGCUCUGAACCGACUGCCGGACGCGGUGACGGUCUCGCACAAGGGCAAAGUUCUCGUGCGCCAGCCGGAGACGGCGGUGUGGUCUUUCCAGGCUGCCGUCUCGGUGCUGUCGCAGUCGAUAAGCGCGCAUAUGGAGCCGAUCAUGUACACUCGCAAUGCGCGUCAGGCUGUGUGCGUGACUUCUGUGACGCCACCUGGCAGCGAGGAGGAGAGCGACGCCGCCGCAGCAGCCGGCCUUCGCGAGAGCAUCCUCGUACAGUGCCGUUUUCUCUUUCGUCCAGAGGUAGUCAGCGCCGGCGACGCGGUGGUGCUGCACUGGGCCCCGCGCGGCAUUGCCGUUGGCCGCAUCACGUCCAUGAACGCGCCGGCCAAGGUGUAGACAGAGAUAGAGGCUGAUGUAGAAAUUGGCGGCUAGACGGCAAAUACCCGGUGACUCUUCACGGAGAGGAGAAUGCGUGCGAGUAGGUGUGUGCGUGUGUGUGAUCGCAGGGGCGCGGGGUGCUUGUGCCGAGAUGCUGGAGAAGCGGCAGAGAGAGAGGCAGCUGGAGGGGUUAGUGGCGCAGCGCGCGUUGCACUAAAACUCCCCUCCUACAGCGAAAGUUGAGCAGAGUGGUGGCGUUUCGUACUGCAGGUGGAGAUACUGUGUGCGACUGCCUCAGCAAGGGCUGACACUGCCGCCUCUUCGCCCCCCCCCUCCCUCCCUCCCUUUGUUGCUCUUCUUUUCACCUCCUCAAUUCUCUUCUGCAUGCCUGCCGGCUCGCGCGCGUAUUCCCGCAGACCCGUUUUGCACGGAAAGAGACAUGACGAACGGCCAGCAGGCGUAACGGGCUGCAUCUAGUUUACAGUUGUGCCCCGCUUUGCUGUUCUUGUCGUUUGCACUCUUCUUCAGUCGGCCACCCAGCUCCUGAACCCUCCGCAGAUGCUCCUCUGCCUCUUCACCCUUUUUAUUCUGACAGUUACCCCCCUUUUCAUCUUCGUUUCUGUCUCUCCAGUUGCACCUUCCACUGUGGACCCUGCCGGCAGUGCUGCUGCCGCAGCGGGCGUCCUGGGAGAGGAAGGGUAUGCGCGUGGGCGAGGAAACGUGGGGGCGAGUUAGCGGUGACUGUGUAGAAGGGUGUGAUCUUCUCUGUGCGUGCUCUCUUUGUGCUUCCUUUUUGCUUUCCUCGUUUUUUUUUUCUAUGCCGUGUGUCUCUGCGUGCGCGAGCGUCGAAAGUGUGGUGGGAGCAUGCGAACCCAGUCGAGCGGGUGUGCUUCCGCCGGCUCCCGCGCACACCUACAUGAUGAAGUGUUGCUGCGCGUUCGGCCAUACAGGAACGCGCCGCGGCUGUCGUCCGACUUGCACCCACGCAUACACGAAAAGGAGAAAGCCAAUGAGGAGAUGGGAGGCUGGUACUCACCACCGCUGCUGUGAUUUAACUGAAUCUCCCUUCUGUCAUGCGCUGCCCUUCUCUCGUUCACCUUUGUUGUUUCACCAAG